UACGCAGGGGGCUAGCGUUGCUCGGAAUCACUGGGCGUAAAGCGCACGUAGGCGGCUUUUUAAGUCAGGGGUGAAAUCCUGGAGCUCAACUCCAGAACUGCCUUUGAUACUGGGAAGCUCGAGUCCGGGAGAGGUGAGUGGAACUCCGAGUGUAGAGGUGAAAUUCGUAGAUAUUCGGAAGAACACCAGUGGCGAAGGCGGCUCACUGGCCCGGUACUGACGCUGAGGUGCGAAAGCGUGGGGAGCAAACAGG
rnacentral:rRNA from 1 species